GCAGUGAGGAAUCUUGCGCAAUGGGGGAAACCCUGACGCAGCAACGCCGCGUGAGUGAGGAAGGCCUUCGGGUCGUAAAGCUCUGUCAGAUGGAAAGAAAUGCAUGAAGGUUAAUACCCUUUAUGUUUGACGGUACCGUCAGAGGAAGCACCGGCUAACUCCGUGCCAGCAGCCGCGGUAAUACGGGGGGUGCAAGCGUUGUUCGGAAUCAUUGGGCGUAAAGAGCGUGUAGGCGGCGUGAUAAGUCAGAUGUGAAAGCCCUGGGCUUAACUCAGGAAGUGCAUUUGAAACUGUCAUGCUUGAGUAGGGGAGAGGGAAGUGGAAUUCCUGGUGUAGAGGUGAAAUUCGUAGAUAUCAGGAGGAACACCGGUGGCGAAGGCGACUUCCUGGCCCUAUACUGACGCUGAGACGCGAGAGCGUGGGUAGCAAACAGGAUUAGAUACCCUGGUAGUCC
rnacentral:rRNA from 1 species